rnacentral:rRNA from 1 species
UACGUAGGGAGCAAGCGUUGUCCGGAAUCAUUGGGCGUAAAGCGCGCGUAGGUGGCCAUUUAAGUCCGCUGUGAAAGUCAAAGGCUCAACCUUCGAAAGCCGGUGGAUACUGGAUGGCUAGAGUACGGAAGAGGCGAGUGGAAUUCCUGGUGUAGCGGUGGAAUGCGCAGAUAUCAGGAGGAACACCAAUAGCGAAGGCAGCUCGCUGGGACGUUACUGACACUGAGGCGCGAAAGCGUGGGGAGCGAACAGG